rnacentral:rRNA from 1 species
UGGGGAAUUUUGGACAAUGGGCGAAAGCCUGAUCCAGCAAUGCCGCGUGUGUGAAGAAGGCCUUCGGGUUGUAAAGCACUUUUGUCCGGAAAGAAAUCCUUGGCUCUAAUACAGUCGGGGGAUGACGGUACCGGAAGAAUAAGCACCGGCUAACUACGUGCCAGCAGCCGCGGUAAUACGUAGGGUGCAAGCGUUAAUCGGAAUUACUGGGCGUAAAGCGUGCGCAGGCGGUUUGCUAAGACCGAUGUGAAAUCCCCGGGCUCAACCUGGGAACUGCAUUGGUGACUGGCAGGCUAGAGUAUGGCAGAGGGGGGUAGAAUUCCACGUGUAGCAGUGAAAUGCGUAGAGAUGUGGAGGAAUACCGAUGGCGAAGGCAGCCCCCUGGGCCAAUACUGACGCUCAUGCACGAAAGCGUGGGGGAGCAAAGCAGGAUUAGAUACCCCUGGUAGUCCACGCCCUAAAACGAUGUCAACUAGUUGUUGGGGAUUCAUUUCCUUAGUAACGCAGCUAACGCGUGAAGUUGACCGCCUGGGGAGUACGGUCGCAAGAUUAAAACUCAAAGGAAUUGACGGGGUCAUAGCUGUUUCCU